rnacentral:rRNA from 1 species
UAGGGAAUCUUCCACAAUGGGCGCAAGCCUGAUGGAGCAACGCCGCGUGAGUGAAGAAGGUCUUCGGAUCGUAAAACUCUGUUGUUAGAGAAGAACAUGCAGGAGAGUAACUGUUCAUACGUUGACGGUAUUUAACCAGAAAGUCACGGCUAACUACGUGCUAG